rnacentral:rRNA from 1 species
UAGUGGCGGACGGGUGAGUAACGCGUGGGAAUCUGCCCUCAGGAGGGGGAUAACGGUUGGAAACGACCGCUAAUACCCCAUAUGCCGAGAGGUGAAACGAAAUUCGCCUGAGGAUGAGCCCACGUCUGAUUAGCUAGUUGGUGGGGUAAAGGCCUACCAAGGCAUCGAUCAGUAGCUGGUCUGAGAGGAUGAUCAGCCACACUGGGACUGAGACACGGCCCAGACUCCUACGGGAGGCAGCAGUGGGGAAUUUUCCGCAAUGGGCGCAAGCCUGACGGAGCAACGCCGCGUGAGGGAUGAAGGCCUCUGGGCUGUAAACCUCUUUUCUCAAGGAAGAAGAACUGACGGUACUUGAGGAAUAAGCCACGGCUAA